AAUAGAUACCCGGUAGUCCACGCCGUAAACGAUGAGUGCUAAGUGUUAGGGGGUUUCCGCCCCUUAGUGCUGCAGCUAACGCAUUAAGCACUCCGCCUGGGGAGUACGGCCGCAAGGCUGAAACUCAAAGGAAUUGACGGGGGCCCGCACAAGCGGUGGAGCAUGUGGUUUAAUUCGAAGCAACGCGAAGAACCUUACCAGGUCUUGACAUCUCCUGACCGCCCUGGAGACAGGGUCUUCCCUUCGGGGACAGGAUGACAGGUGGUGCAUGGUUGUCGUCAGCUCGUGUCGUGAGAUGUUGGGUUAAGUCCCGCAACGAGCGCAACCCUUGUCCUUAGUUGCCAGCAUUCAGUUGGGCACUCUAAGGAGACUGCCGGCUAAAAGUCGGAGGAAGGUGGGGAUGACGUCAAAUCAUCAUGCCCCUUAUGACCUGGGCUACACACGUGCUACAAUGGGCGGUACAGAGGGUCGCGAACCCGCGAGGGGAGCCAAUCCCAAAAAACCGCUCUCAGUUCGGAUUGCAGGCUGCAACUCG
rnacentral:rRNA from 1 species